GCAAUGGUUUUUUUUAAAACCAUUUUCAGUAAACUAAAAAAAUAAU
rfam:Manacus vitellinus contig88836, whole genome shotgun sequence.